rnacentral:tRNA from 1 species
GAGGGUGUAGCUCAGUGGUAGAGUGCCUGCUUAGCAUGCACGAGGUCCUGGGUUCAAUCCCCAGUGCCUGCA